GCUCUGUCAUAGAUCUUCAACUAUUCUCCAUUAAGGACUCAUUCGAAAUGUUAUCUGAUUUGCACAUAAAUAAAGCACAAAAGCUUUUAUCCAUGCAGUUUCCAGAUUACAAGGGUUACAAGACCCUAUUCUUGGAUCAAAACUUCAUUUUAGAGUGCAAUCUGGAAAGUUUGUUCAAAUUUUACAUAAUGGUGCAAUGCAUUGGCUUACCAUUUCAAAUUUUUAAGUACCCAUCUUAACUCAGUUGAUGUUUUUGGAUUCCUUAUAUUAUGAUUUAAUUGUUAGUGGAAAGUUGCAAGUAGGACCAAUCAUUAUGGUUAAAGAAUCUUUUUUGAAAUUACAGUUUAAAGAUUUCCAAAAACAAUCUGGUGGGCUUGGUUGUGGUCUUUUUGCAAUUGCAGCGGCAACAAAUUUACAAUCAUGAUCCAAGCAUAAAAUGUUAUAAGCAAGAACUUAUGCGGGAUCAUUUGUUAAAAUGCUUCAGUGACGGUUACUUAACGCCAUUCCCCAUAGAGACUAAUAAACGAAAAAAGAAAAAGCAAUCUAAACCAAUUAAUUUACCAUUAUAUUGCAUAUGUCGUCUUCGUGAUAAUAAAGAAGAAAAAAUGGUUAAAUGCGACUAUUGCAAGGAGUGGUUUCACGCUUCAUGCCUUUCCAAUCCAAAGAAUAUAUUAGAGAAUUCUGACAACUCUUUACAUUGGCAUUGUAAUUCAUGCAGCUAAUUAAGUAUGUCGAGAUAUCAAAGCUAAUAAAGUCAGUACCAUGGUAUUAUGUAAGUUUUACCAAGUUUCUCUUCCGUUUCAAGUUGGUGAAUAUAGUCUUAUCCGAGGCGAUGAUGAAAAUGAUAUUUUAAAAAAGUUUUGCCAAACAGAAUAUAAUUAUUACACAUU